rnacentral:rRNA from 1 species
UACGUAGGGGGCGAGCGUUGUCCGGAUUUAUUGGGCGUAAAGAGCGUGUAGGCGGUCCGGUAAGUCCGCUGUGAAAGUCGGGGGCUCAACCCUCGAAUGCCGGUGGAUACUGUCGGGCUAGAGUGCGGAAGAGGCGAGUGGAAUUCCUGGUGUAGCGGUGAAAUGCGCAGAUAUCAGGAGGAACACCUAUUGCGAAGGCAGCUCGCUGGGACGUUACUGACGCUGAGACGCGAAAGCGUGGGGAGCAAACAGG